GUGUGGACCUGAGGAGUUAUCUUUCAAGUUUUUUCUGUAGGUAUAGGUAAUUGGUGUUGAGACGGUUGGGUUGAGACGGGCUUCUGCUUCAAGCAUUGUUCCUAAGGCUCUGAAGAAAUGUGAUGUGGCAGUGUAAGGGGUGUUCCGUUGCAGUAGCUACAUCACCAUCAUUACAUGAUUCUUCAGCUGAUUGCCAGGAUGAGGAGUUUGUGGAAGAGGAAGUUUAUGUUGCACCCCUAGAUAAAUGCAGAAUUUAAGCGCAUUACCACCAUGCCCCUGCAAUCCAGAUUUCUGUCACAGCUGGAUGUACGAUCUGACAAACUUCUAAAGCUAUUCGGAAAAACGAGGAGGACAGAUAGGCAAGCGUCUUGAGAGAACUUUGGCCCCCAUGACUCAAGACGAUGACGUUGAUGCAGGGCGGGAAUGUGUUCUCAAGUGGCUGUGUGUGUACCUCAACGAAGACCCAGCAAAUCUUGUCAGGGAGUUCGUGGUGAGUGAAGUUAUUUUACCGAUUUUGAUAUUUUGUUGAACACCAAAAUGCGUAGUUAAAGGGGACCUAUUAUGCUUUUUCGACUUUUAUGACCUAUAAACGUUGUUAUAAUGAUUGAUAGUCAUGUUUAACCAUACACAAAAAACAAUGUCGAUUUUCGGGAAACUCUUCCUCUCAUCUGGGCGCUUACAGCAUUCUCUGUCAACGCUCGGUUUCGUCCUUCUCCGCCCCCUCGCCCCCCUCCUGCCAACCCAACUCCAUUGUGAUUGGUUACCUUCCUUGAAGCGCGCGCGGGCAGAUUUGACCAGGCAUAAGGGGGCGUGGCAGAAGAGCCUCUACGUAGAUGAUUUCCCGGAAAUGUGAACAAGUGAAUC